GCACGAUAUGAAAAAUUUCAACCGAUACCGAUAACCGAUAAUUUUCUUCUUCUCAUGGCCGAUACCGAUAACCGAUAAAUUCAUAUUUUUACAUUUAUUAUAAUCUUCAUAUAAUCUGCAGUUUGUGCAGGAUGCAGCGAUUGAAAACUGAUGUUUUUGUUGCUCUGGCCUAUCUAGAACAACAAACAAAAGUUUUUGGCUCUUCAAAUGUGGUCAUUAGCUAUAAAUAACAAUAACAGAGCAAAAAGCAGAACUUCAUUUGAUCCCCUGAACUGUUCAACAGAACUGUAAACUGUAAAGGAGCUAUUAUGAGACGUUAGGCUUAGCAUGCUGACCGGACUAACAUGUGACGUCCAUAUGUCUGUGGUAAAACUCACGUGUAGUCCGUUCUUGUCGAUCAGGUUGUGAAUGUAUGUGGCGACAAUAUCAUAGAGUGCAGGAAGGGACACAUCCGAGAAGAAGC